CCAAGUCUAACUCAGGUUAGGCCGCAUCCUCCCCAAGCUUGUUUAAGCCAUGAGGACUGCUGAGAAUCCCUCUCAGAGCAGCUGAGCUGCCUGAGGAGAGAGACUCUCCAAGCUGUCCAGCUGCCUGCAGGCUGUGCAGUGAGCUACCAUUCCUGCUCGGUGGGCUUCGGUGAUGCAGCUAUCUUUGAGUCAUUUCCAUUCCUGUAUGUGAUCCUUCACCUACACUCCUAGCAUGACUUCACUUGCUAACGAACAGAAUGACCUGUUGAAACAAUGGGUUGUUGUUCCUAACAACCUGCUGACUGCCAUGUACUCUUAGGUACAUUAGUUCUCAGAAGCUUCUAUGGAAAAAAGGAAUUCAGCCUUACUGAGAAAUGGAAUACUGGGUUUAGAAGCUUUAAGAAGUUCUAUUUUCCUCAAAAUGUGUGCUUUCUGA
rnacentral:lncRNA from 1 species